rnacentral:rRNA from 1 species
GAUGAACGCUAGCGACAGGCUAACACAUGCAAGUCGAGGGGUAACAGGGUAGCAAUACCGCUGACGACCGGCGCACGGGUGAGUAACGCGUAUGCAACCUGCCUAUAACUGGGGAAUAGCUCCCUGAAAGGGGAAUUAACACCGCAUAACACUAUUGAUUCGCAUGGAUUGGUAGUUAAAUGUAGCGAUACAGGUUAUAGAUGGGCAUGCGUGACAUUAGCUAGUUGGUGAGGUAACGGCUCACCAAGGCUACGAUGUCUAGGGGUUCUGAGAGGAAGGUCCCCCCACACUGGUACUGAGACACGGACCAGACUCCUACGGGAGGCAGCAGUGAGGAAUAUUGGUCAAUGGGCGCAAGCCUGAACCAGCCAUGUCGCGUGCAGGAAGAACCUGCCCUAUGGGUUGUAAACUGCUUUUAUAGUAGAAGAAACACAUCUACGUGUAGAUGUCUGCCAGUAUACUAUGAAUAAGCAUCGGCUAACUCCGUGCCAGCCGCCGC